GACGAACGCUGGCGGCGUGCUUAACACAUGCAAGUCGAACGGAAAGGCCCUGCUUUUGUGGGGUGCUCGAGUGGCGAACGGGUGAGUAACACGGGAGUAACCUGCCCUUGACUUUGGGAUAACUUCAGGAAACUGGGGCUAAUACCGGAUAGGAGCUCCUGCUGCAUGGUGGGGGUUGGAAAGUCUCGGCGGUUGGGGAUGGACUCGCGGCUUAUCAGCUUGUUGGUGGGGUAGUGGCUUACCAAGGCUUUGACGGGUAGCCGGCCUGAGAGGGUGACCGGCCACAUUGGGACUGAGAUACGGCCCAGACUCCUACGGGAGGCAGCAGUGGGGAAGAUUGCACAAUGGGCGGAAGCCUGAUGCAGCAACGCCGCGUGCGGGAUGACGGCCUUCGGGUUGUAAACCGCUUUCGCCUGUGAAGAAGCGUUAGUGACGGUAAUGGGUAAAGAAGCACCGGCUAACUACGUG
rnacentral:rRNA from 1 species